GCUGUAAUAGCUGAAUAUAAAGCAUCGGUCUUGUAAACCGAGAGGUGAGUUUAACUCUUACAGCU
rnacentral:tRNA from 1 species